CCUCUUACUUUUAAAAUACAUUUUAUUGUGAUGAAAGCUCUCAGAGUUGCCUUUUCUCUUAGGCACUCUCUAAUCAGUUAUCCUGAGUCGUCCCAACUCUUAGACCUUUUAUACCUGUUUUUCUCCUUCUGUUAUUCCAUUUAGUUUCUCAAUUCAUCCAAAACCGUAUCCAGGCCAUCACGAAUCAUUCUAUAAGACAAAUGUUUCUUCUAACAUCCCCACAAUAUCACCCCUUACCACAAGACCUCCCUUCAGCUUAAUCUCUCCCACUCUAGGUUCCCAAGCUGCCCCUAAUCCCGCUUGAAGCAGCCCUGAGAAACAUCGCCCAUUCUCUCUCCAUACCGCCCCCCAAAAAUUUUCGCCGCCCCAACACUUCAACACUAUCUU
rnacentral:lncRNA from 10 species